UCCGAAGGGUGCAAGCGUUACUCGGAAUUACUGGGCGUAAAGCGUGCGUAGGCGGUUUGUUAAGUCCGCUGUGAAAGCCCUGGGCUCAACCUGGGAAUUGCAGUGUAUACUGGCAAGCUAGAGUGCGGUAGAGGAUGGUGGAAUUCCCGGUGUAGCGGUGAAAUGCGUAGAGAUCGGGAGGAACACCCAGGGGGAAACCAGACGACUGGGCAUCUACUGACGCUGAGGUGCGAGAGCGUGGGGAGCGAACCGG
rnacentral:rRNA from 1 species